rnacentral:sRNA from 1 species
AUAGUCUAGUAGUUUUUCUGUUUGCUCCGUGCUUGGGGCAGGGAUGGGAGGAGGAGGAGCUUGGCAAGUUAUCUUCUCCUUCCGUGAAACAGAGCACUUUAAAGUGCUUACUUUCUUUAUCACUUACUUUCUCAUAUUGGCCUUCCAGGUAUAUGCUCGUAUGUCAGAAGUCUUAGGAAUAACAGAUGACAACCACGUUCUAGAAACAUUCAUGACAAAAAUUGUUACAAACCUUAAAUACUGGGGAAGAUGUGAGCCUGUAAUUUCAAGGACUCUUCAGUUCCUAAAUGACCUUUCUGUUGGUUAUAUCCUUUUAAAAAAACUUGUGAAGAUAGAUGCUGUGAAAUUCAUGCUAAAAAACCACACGAGUGAACACUUCCCUUUUCUUGGCAUCAGUGACAAUCAUAGUCUCAGCGACUUCAGGUGUCGAACAACCUUCUACACAGCGCUCACUCGCCUUCUGAUGGUAGAUCUAGGUGAAGAUGAGGAUGAAUUUGAGAAUUUCAUGCUGCCUCUUACAGUUGCUUUUGAAACAGUAUUACAAAUAUUCAACAACAACUUUAAACAAGAAGAUGUAAAGCGUAUGUUGAUCGGGCUGGCAAGAGAUCUUCGAGGGAUUGCCUUUGCACUGAACACAAAGACCAGCUACACCAUGCUGUUUGACUGGAUGUACCCAACGUACCUUCCCCUUCUUCAGAAUGCUGUUGAACGGUGGUAUGGA